UAACGUCAUGGAUAGUUUGCCAAGGACAUUUUUUUGGACUUUUUGGUUUUCCAAAAGGUUCAUCUUUCACUUUGAAAAAAGAUAAUCGCUCAAAGAAUUGCAUUCGCAAGGAAAAGCCCAGCAUAGCAUGAAACGAUAGGUCUUUCUGACCGGUGCUUACUGGACCCGACGGCGCCACGGAAAGAAAUGAUUGAUAGAAGGUUUGGGGGCGUUGGUACUGGGCAAAUAGAGGUGAAAUUCUUGGACUGUCCAUGACCGACAGAUGCGAAGGCGCUCGCCAAGAGCUCUCCUUUAAUCAAGAACGAAAGUUCCCGGAUCAAAGACGAUCAGAUACCGUCGUAGUGGGAACCGUAAACUAUGCCAACUGGAGGAUUGGUGGUUGUCCGUUUUUUCAUUAGGGACGCCAUCAGCACUCGCGGGAAACUUGAAGUCAUCGGGUUGCGGGGAGAGUAUGGUCGCAAGGCUGAAAUUUAAAGGAAUUGACGGAAAGGCACCUCCAGGAGUGGAGCCUGCGGCUUAAUUUGACUCAACACGGGAAAACUUACCAGGUCCAGACAUGGCAAGGAUUGACAGCUUACAGAGCUUUCUUGAUUUCAUGGGUAGUAGUGCAUGGCCGUUCUUAGUUGGUGGUGUGAACUGUCUGCUUAAUUGCGUUAACGAACGAGACUCGAUAGGUGUUAAAUAGGUCACUCCACUAUGUGUGGGUGGUGAUCCUUCUUAGCCUGACAACCGG
rnacentral:rRNA from 1 species